rnacentral:rRNA from 1 species
AUUGAUUUUAUGCUUGCAUAGAUGAUUUUUGGAUUCGGAGCGAGUGGCGAACUGGUGAGUAACACGUGGGCAACCUGCCCCGAAGCGGGGGAUAACAUUUGGAAACAAAUGCUAAUACCGCAUAAUUAGUCAGAACCGCAUGGUUCCGACUUGAAAGAUGGCUCUGCUAUCACUUCGGGAUGGACCCGCGCCGUAUUAGUUAGUUGGUGAGAUAAAAGCCCACCAAGACGAUGAUACGUAGCCGACCUGAGAGGGUAAUCGGCCACAUUGGGACUGAGACACGGCCCAGACUCCUACGGGAGGCAGCAGUAGGGAAUCUUCCACAAUGGACGAAAGUCUGAUGGAGCAACGCCGCGUGAGUGAUGAAGGGUUUCGGCUCGUAAAACUCUGUUGUUAAAGAAGAACAAGCAUGAGAGUAACUGUUCAUGCUUUGACGGUAUUUAACCAGAAAGCCACGGCUAACUACGUGCCAGCAGCCGCGGUAAUACGUAGGUGGCAAGCGUUGUCCGGAUUUAUUGGGCGUAAAGCGAGCGCAGGCGGUUUUGUAAGUCUGCUGUGAAAGCCCUCAGCUCAACUGAGGAAGUGCAGUGGAAACUACAAAACUUGAGUACAGAAGAGGAAAGUGGAACUCCAUGUGUAGCGGUGAAAUGCGUAGAUAUAUGGAAGAACACCAGUGGCGAAGGCGGCUUUCUGGUCUGUUACUGACGCUGAGGCUCGAAAGCAUGGGUAGCGAACAGGAUUAGAUACCCUGGUAGUCCAUGCCGUAAACGAUGAAUACUAGGUGUUGGAGGGUUUCCGCCCUUCAGUGCCGCAGCUAACGCAUUAAGUAUUCCGCCUGGGGAGUACGACCGCAAGGUUGAAACUCAAAGGAAUUGACGGGGGCCCGCACAAGUGGUGGAGCAUGUGGUUUAAUUCGAUGCUACGCGAAGAACCUUACCAGCUCUUGACAUCUUCUGCCAACCUAAGAGAUUAGGCGUUCCCUUCGGGGACAGAAUGACAGGUGGUGCAUGGUUGUCGUCAGCUCGUGUCGUGAGAUGUUGGGUUAAGUCCCGCAACGAGCGCAACCCUUAUUAUUAGUUGCCAGCAUUUAGUUGGGCACUCUAGUGAGACUGCCGGUGAUAAA